AUUGAACGCUGGCGGCAUGCUUUACACAUGCAAGUCGAACGGUAACAGGUUAAGCUGACGAGUGGCGAACGGGUGAGUAAUGCAUCGGAACGUGCCCGGUCGUGGGGGAUAACGCAGCGAAAGCUGCGCUAAUACCGCAUACGAUCUGAGGAUGAAAGCGGGGGACCGUAAGGCCUCGCGCGAUCGGAGCGGCCGAUGUCAGAUUAGGUAGUUGGUGAGGUAAAGGCUCACCAAGCCAACGAUCUGUAGCGGGUCUGAGAGGACGACCAGCCACACUGGGACUGAGACACGGCCCAGACUCCUAUGGGAGGCAGCAGUGGGGAAUUUUGGACAAUGGGCGAAAGCCUGAUCCAGCAAUGCCGCGUGCAGGAAGAAGGCCUUCGGGUUGUAAACUGCUUUUGUACGGAGCGAAAAGGCUCUCUCUAAUACAGGGGGCUCAUGACGGUACCGUAAGAAUAAGCACCGGCUAACUACGUGCCAGCCGCCGCCGUAA
rnacentral:rRNA from 1 species